AGAGUUUGAUCCUAGCUCAGAACGAACGCUGGCGGCAGGCCUAACACAUGCAAGUCGAGCGGACGUCUUUAGAGACGUUAGCGGCGAACGGGUGAGUAACGCGUGAGAAUCUGCCUUACUCUACGGGAUAACACAGGGAAACUUGUGUCAAUAUCGUAUGAUUCCUGUAUCAGGUAAAGAGCUACAUAAUAUUGGAGUAAGAUGAGCUUGCGUUAGAUUAGCUAGUUGGUGAGGUAAAGGCUCAACCAAGGCGACGAUCUAUAGCUGGUCUGGGAGGACGGUCAGCCACAUUGGGACUGAGACACGGCCCAAACUUCUACGGAAGGCAGCAGUGGGGAAUAUUGGACAAUGGGCGAAAGCCUGAUCCAGCCAUGUCGCGUGAGUGAUUGAAGGUUGAUAUAACUGUAAAACUCUUUUGUCGGUGACCAUGAUGAUGGUAGCCGAAGAAAAAGCUCCGGCUAACUUCGUGCCAGCAGCCGCGGUAAUACGAGGGGAGCUAGUGUUGUUCAGAUUUAUUGGGCGUAAAGGGCGCGUAGGCGGCUCGGCAAGUUGAAAGCUAAAUCUUGAAGCUCAACUUCAUAGGGCUUUCAAAACUACCAAGCUAGAGCUUAGUGGGGGUGAGUGGAAUUCCAAGUGUAGAGGUGAAAUUCGUAGAUAUUUGGAGGAACACCAGAGGCGAAGGCGAUUCAUUACGCUAAGCUGACGCUAAUGCGCGAAAGCGUGGGGAGCAAACAGGAUUAGAUACCCUGGUAGUCCACGCUGUAAACGAUGAGUGCUAGUAGUGGGGUCUGCACUUUUUCUGCAGCUCUAUUAUACAGCUAACGCGUUAAGCACUCCGCCUGGGGAGUACGAUCGCAAGAUUAAAACUCAAAGGAAUUGACGGGGACCCGCACAAGCGGUGGAGCAUGUGGUUUAAUUCGAAACAACACGUAGAACCUUACCAGCUCUUGACAUUCAAGGUCGAAUGCAUUUAGAAAUAAGCGUAUUCAACAAAAACACAAUGACCUGAACAGGUGCUGCAUGGCUGUCGUCAGCUCGUGUCGUGAGAUGUAUGGUUAAGUCCUGCAACGAGCGCAACCCUUGCUCUUAGUUGCUUAAAGCUGAAAAGCUAGCUCUCUAAGAGGACUGCUAAUAACAAAUUAGAGGAAGGAAAGGACGACGUCAAGUCUUCAUGGCCUUUAUGGGCUGGGCUACACACGUGCUACAAUGGUAGCUACAGAGAGUCGCAAUGUCGCGAGGCGGAGCAAAUCUUUAAAAGCUAUCUCAGUUCGGAUUGCACUCUGCAACUCGAGUGCAUGAAGCAGGAAUCGCUAGUAAUCGCGGAUCAGCAUGCCGCGGUGAAUACGUUCUCGGGUCUUGUACACACCGCCCGUCACACCAUGGGAGUUGGCUUUGUUUUAAGCUGUUGCGUUUGCGCAGUAUCGAUGAAGUUGACGACUGGGGUGAAGUCGUAACAAGGUAGCUGUAGGGGAACCUGUGGCUG
rnacentral:rRNA from 1 species